UGUAAGCGUAUACCAAAGUUGUUGCAGUUAAAACGCUCGUAGUCGGAAUUUGGCAGUUCCGGAUGUGUGCACGUCGUGUGCGCACUUCGCGGGGAUUGCUUUUGUGGUCUUGCGUAGGAUGAGGCACUUUUAUUAGUGAACGUCCUCACGCAACCACUUUUUACUGUGAGAAAAUCGGAGUGCUCAAAGCAGGCAUUUGCCGUGAAUGUAUUAGCAUGGAAUAAUAGAAUAGGACUUGGUUCUAUUUUGUUGGUUUGUUGGGACUGAGUAAUGAUUAAGAGGGACAGUUGGGGGCAUUUGUAUUUCGGUGCUAGAGGUGAAAUUCUUAGAUUACCGAAAGACAAACUGCUGCGAAAGCGUCUGCCAAGGAUGUUUUCAUUGG
rnacentral:rRNA from 1 species